rnacentral:lncRNA from 1 species
AUUAUAGCAGUGGUCUCGCUAGCCCAAAAUAGAAGGGCGCCGCGCCCUGGGUGCCCUCAGCCGCGCCCUGGGUGCCUUCAUCCGCGCCCUUCUGCCCUGACGUCUUUUUCCAAAAUUAUCUUGUGCCGUUUUGGUAAAAUUUUGUUUCAUCGAUUUCUGAUCUCCAAGUUAAUUACAUAUAUGACACCUGUGUGAUUGCCCCCAGGUUAAUCAUGUCAUUACAAUCAAUUACAAUGAUAAAGACUUCAAAGGUGUUAAUAACUAGGUAAUUUAAUUAGGACAAUGUAUCUUUUUGUCAUACUUUUGAUGAAUGUGUCAGCGAGUGUGUUUAGCUUGGGUCGGCAUUUUCGAUCUCCAAGUCACAAUGGAAGAGCGUAUAUAAAUGAAGACUUUCAUGACUUUAGAAUUGAAUUUAAGUCAUCAAAAUAAAACUAUGCCUUUACAGAAAUGCCUUCCAUCUCAACUUGUUAGCGACAAGCACAGUUUUUAAUUAACCCAAACGUGGUGGAAAUUGAUUUUGGAGUUACUUCCCCUGUUUUAGCUUAUUACAAAUUUGUGCUCUAAAAAUAUUAUCUAGUAUCAAAAAAAAGGAAUAAAUUACCAAUUGAAUAUAUAAUAACAUAAUAAUGUUACCUUAAAGAUAUUAACUGUCUUUGAACAUAUUAAAAAUAUAUAUUUGCAAUUUCUACUUGAUAAUUAUACUUUUAGCAAUCCAUGUUCUAAACAUUGUUAAAUUAGUAAUGCUCUCAAUUU